GAUGAACGCUGGCGGCGUGCCUAAUACAUGCAAGUCGAGCGAACGGACGAGAAGCUUGCUUCUCUGAUGUUAGCGGCGGACGGGUGAGUAACACGUGGAUAACCUACCUAUAAGACUGGGAUAACUUCGGGAAACCGGAGCUAAUACCGGAUAAUAUUUUGAACCGCAUGGUUCAAAAGUAAAAGACGGUCUUGCUGUCACUUAUAGAUGGAUCCGCGCUGCAUUAGCUAAUUGGUAAGGUAACGGCUUACCAAGGCAACGAUGCAUAGCCGACCUGAGAGGGUGAUCGGCCACACUGGAACUGAGACACGGUCCAGACUCCUACGGGAGGCAGCAGUAGGGAAUCUUCCGCAAUGGGCGAAAGCCUGACGGAGCAACGCCGCGUGAGUGAUGAAGGUCUUCGGAUCGUAAAACUCUGUUAUUAGGGAAGAACAUAUGUGUAAGUAACUGUGCACAUCUUGACGGUACCUAAUCAGAAAGCCACGGCUAACUACGUG
rnacentral:rRNA from 1 species